rnacentral:rRNA from 1 species
UACGUAGGGUGCAAGCGUUGUCCGGAAUUAUUGGGCGUAAAGAGCUUGUAGGCGGUUUGUCGCGUCUGCUGUGAAAUUUCGGGGCUCAACCCCGAACUUGCAGUGGGUACGGGCAGACUAGAGUGUGGUAGGGGAGACUGGAAUUCCUGGUGUAGCGGUGAAAUGCGCAGAUAUCAGGAGGAACACCGGUGGCGAAGGCGGCAUCCUGGACCGGCAUUGACGCUGAGUGAGCGAAAGCCAGGGGAGCAAACGGG